rnacentral:lncRNA from 1 species
CCACUUCUUUUGAGCUUGACGAAUUACUGUAAGAAUCGUUCUGUGACUGGACAGAACACUUUUUUCGGGAACGACGAUUUAUCGCAUUUACACAACUUUGCGCUCUCCAUUGACACCAAGUUGAGCCAAACAGCAGCGAGUAUUUUUCAUCGGAUUUUAACGAUUCAGUUUUUCACGAGAGAGAUGUCUUCAUACAUAAUGAACUCCUUUUUCCGCGUGCUGCCACAAAAAGAUAUCGAAGAUGUCCACGCGGAAGAAACGUGUUAGGGCUUAUCCCCUAAGAUUGUGGUACUAUUCUAAUGUUGUAUGAUUCAGGCAUUUCCGAUUAAUUGUCGUAGUACCAUGACAUUUGGGUUGGUAACCUAAUUUAUUAGGGCACUACCAUAAGUAAUUGAAAAUGUCCAUAUCAUCGAUCAACCCCUAUCUCUUUAUUUCUAUGCCGGAAUUUGACACGAAUAUUUUUAAACUUAAUUUUUCUCCUUUUAGUGGACGAGAGUGUUCGGUUGGACUAUCGCCGUAAUCGUCUUGGUGUCUAUUCCAUACGGAUUGGCCUAUUACUAUUGGUUCGGAUCGGGGCCUCUUCUCUCCGCUUUGUACAGCUCUUUACAUAGACCGCUUUUCGUAUUAGCUAUUUCUUGGAUUAUUUUUGUCUCUGACCAAGGCUAUGGAGGCACUAUCAACGCAUUUCUCUCGUCAAAGCCCUUCCAGAUUUUGAGUAGACUAAGCUUCAGUUUUUACUUAAUUCACAGUUUCUGCAUGGAAUAUGAUUACGGGACAAAACGGACCGCUGGGUAUUUUUCCUAUUAUAAUAUGCUCCAAGCAUCAAUAUUUCACAUCAUUAUUCUCCUUCCUAUCGCCGCUGUACUGUCACUCGCCUUGGAGUACCCAAUCAUUCAUCUUAGUAAACUAAUACUUACGAAGAAACGAGCUGAAAUUCCAAACUCUAUGCAUCCAAUUGAUGACAGCAAUGAAGUGCAAGUGGAGGAAACAGGGACUCUGCAAACAUCGACAAAUAAGUAGAAUUGAAAACUCUGAUAUUGGUUAUUUAGUCAGAAUCUAUGUUCAACUGAAGAUCCGGAACGCAGCCUGUGCACUAUAUGGACCACAUUUUGAAAUUAGGAACUGAACUUUUUGACGCAGUUUUGAAACAACGUACGUGCCAUUACUUCCCGUAUGCACAUAAGUGUUCAUACGGAUGAGCCGAAAAUUGUAGUUCUUAAUUGCAAAACGUAAUCCAUUUGAGGCACUGAGCGCAAGAAGGACACUUUUGUUUCAGCAGAAUACCAGUGGCUAAUUUAAAUUUGUAUAGGAAACUAGUGGAAGGAAAAGGUCGGUUUAAGCGUACCCAUCAGUGUUGUCAGUAUUCACUUUAGAUGCCUCGUUUAUUUAUUUCCAAUUUUAUGCUACGAUGAACCCUAGGAGCCCUGCAGGAAAAGUAAGUCAAUUAAUUUUUCCAAUUGAUGUUUUUCAUUCAAACUAUUUUUACUGAUGUGUCGUUUCAAAAUUAAUGUGAUAUUUUUGCGGGGAGAGGGUGGAGGCAGCGUCGCCCCCGUCCUUUGUAGAGGGUGGCUAUCCUAGCAGACGGCUGAGAGAGCCAACCUCUAUACUAAAAAUCGGGGGACAUGAGAUGAAAUGAAAAAGAAUGAAAUGGUGAUGAACAAACUAUAAUGACUGACUAAGAAAUGAACAAGAACAAAAUGACAAUGAUAUGAUAGGAACCUCUCUCUACAAAGGGUGAAAACAAGGGGGAACGAUAUGUGCUCUCAGUGUAACACGCCUAUGCUGGGGUAAAUACGCGGCAACGCUCACGACACACUACAGACUAACAUGAAAUGUACAAAGGACGGAAACACGGCUACGCUCAUGAGUCCUGACUAGACUAAACACUAAAUGACCUAAAGACCUAAGAACUUACAUGAAGGGUGAAAG